AGCAGUAGCCGCGGGAAUACAGAGGGUGCAAGCGUUAUCCGGAUUUAUUGGGUUUAAAGGGUCCGUAGGCGGACUUAUAAGUCAGUGGUGAAAGCCUGUCGCUUAACGAUAGAACUGCCAUUGAUACUGUAAGUCUUGAGUAUAUUUGAGGUAGCUGGAAUAAGUAGUGUAGCGGUGAAAUGCAUAGAUAUUACUUAGAACACCAAUUGCGAAGGCAGGUUACCAAGAUAUAACUGACGCUGAGGGACGAAAGCGUGGGUAGCGAACAGGAUUAGAUACCCCUGAGUCCCUGUCUCUUAUACA
rnacentral:rRNA from 1 species